rnacentral:misc_RNA from 1 species
UUAAGUUCAGCGGGUAUCCCUACCUGAUCCGAGGUCAAACCAUAGAAAAUAGUUUGGGGGUCAUCCGGCGAGCGACACCUGGACUCCAUAGCGGGUUAAAAUUGACUACGCUGGGAGACAGGCACCACCGCCGACGAGUUUCGAGCACGUCCUAGGCGGACGGAGCUCAAUACCAAGCAGAAGCUUGAGGUUUGAAAUGA